rnacentral:rRNA from 1 species
CAGCAGCCGCGGGAAUACGAAGGGUGCAAGCGUUACUCGGAAUUACUGGGCGUAAAGCGUGCGUAGGUGGUGGUUUAAGUCCGUUGUGAAAGCCCUGGGCUCAACCUGGGAAUUGCAGUGGAUACUGGGUCACUAGAGUGUGGUAGAGGAUAGUGGAAUUUCCGGUGUAGCAGUGAAAUGCGUAGAGAUCGGAAGGAACAUCUGUGGCGAAGGCGACUAUCUGGGCCAACACUGACACUGAGGCACGAAAGCGUGGGGAGCAAACAGGAUUAGAUACCCCGGUAGUCCCUGUCUCUUAUAC